rnacentral:rRNA from 1 species
UACGGGGGGGGCAAGCGUUGUUCGGAAUUACUGGGCGUAAAGGGCUCGUAGGCGGCCAACUAAGUCAGACGUGAAAUCCCUCGGCUUAACCGGGGAACUGCGUCUGAUACUGGAUGGCUUGAGUUUGGGAGAGGGAUGCGGAAUUCCAGGUGUAGCGGUGAAAUGCGUAGAUAUCUGGAGGAACACCGGUGGCGAAGGCGGCAUCCUGGACCAACACUGACGCUGAGUGCGCGAAAGCCAGGGGAGCAAACGGG